UACGUAGGGCGCAAGCGUUGUCCGGAUUUAUUGGGCGUAAAGCGCACGCAGGCGGUCUCUUAAGUUUUGAGUGACAGGUGGUGGCUCAACUACCACAGGCCUUGGAAAACUGGGAGACUUGAGGACUUCAGAGGGAUGCGGAAUUCCAGGUGGAGCGGUGAAAUGCGCAGAUAUCAGGAGGAACACCGAUGGCGAAGGCAGGUCUCUGGGACGGUACUGACGCUGAGACGCGAAAGCGUGGGGAGCAAACAGG
rnacentral:rRNA from 1 species